UCUCCUGUAGCUCAGUGAUAGAGCGUCCGACCGGUGUGCGGAAGCUACAACGGUCACAGGUUCAACUCCUGUCGGAAGAA